rnacentral:ribozyme from 1 species
GGAAUUCCCGCUGGGAAGAAUGCCACAUACGUGUUGAAUGAGUGUGGAGAAACAAUACACUCUUUCGAUUCUGAGACAGCCAUUCAAGAACA